rnacentral:lncRNA from 1 species
GUCCAAAUUGCUAUACAGAUAAAAAUGUAUACAAAUAUGUAAAACGGGGUCGUGAUACUUAAACAUCCAAAACUCGUGAAGCCCUUUCUGAUAACACAUACAAAUAAAUGGCAUUUUGUGAGUGCAUUUCUGAGACUUUUUACACCGCACAAUUAUGUAGUGGAUUAUCGUUUAUGAGAUCAUCAAACAUCCUCCAGUUUAUAAACAAAUUAUUCGCUUAAUUUACAUGUUCCUUCCCUGCAAUGAUUAGCGCCAGCCAUCAACAGACAUUCAAUCAAAAGCAGCCCCCAUGUGAAUCAUGCUCCAUUAAUAAUAUGGCUCUUAAUAAUCUGCAGUAAUUUGUUAAAAAUGAAGCAGAACAGAACGACCAUUUCCUCCCCCAGAGAAAAGACCACAAACAAAUGGACAGCAUACCUUGGCAUACCGAACAAACAAUAUCUGACAAGCACGGAAAUAUUUGUAUAAUUUAUGCCUACCUAAAUGCCCCAAAAGAUAUCCCUUUAAGUAUAUAUAGCUCUGCAUCUAUAUACCUAUGCCUACGUAUAUGUAAGCUUCUUGGGUCUUCAUAAUUUU